rnacentral:rRNA from 1 species
UGCGGAUGUUUCACAUGCAUCNCACGGAGAGAAGGACUUCGGUCUGUCGCGGCGAGUGGCGAACGGGUGAGUGAUGUAUCGGAACGUACCCAUGUAGCGGGGGAUCAACUACGCGAAAGCGUAGCUAACUACCGCAUACGCCCUACGGGGGAAAGCAGGGGAUCGCAAGACCUUGCACUAUUGGACGGCCGAUAUCGGAUUAGCUAGUUG